UGAAUGCUGGUAACGUCAUUAAAUGUUCUGCUGUUCUAUGGGCUGGUCGUCUCUUUCACUUCUGUCCUCAGAUCUGCACACGCCGGACCACGACAUAUGAGAAGUAGUCUUGAUGUUUCCCAACGUGAAGUGGCGUCUCUCCUGUGAACAGGGUCCAUCGCCACUUGUCCAACAGGUAUCCGAAAGGAGUGACGUCCAGAAUUGACCCUUGACUAAUAUUAUUGUAGAGGUUAGCCCAGGACUGUGCCCACAUAUUUCCUGAAAGAGGAGAACCGACUUGUUGACGAUUGUGAUAAACCUCUGGUACAGCGGUCUUAUGGGCCGGCCCGCACCUUCGUGCCACUUCUUCCAGGCCUCGAGAAGAGCACCGUAGUCUCCGACUUUCGCCAUUGUUUGCGUUAAGUCUACGCCACAGAAAAGCAGAAAGAAAUGGGAAGAAGAAAAAAAAUUAAAGAAACAGGAUCAAGAUGAAGACCAGACCCUACGAAGUCGGUCGAGGACGCAUCACCUCCCUCUAACAGCACGCCACCAUCUUGCAGGAAGAUCGCUCGAAAAACGCACAUCAUAUAAAUUCAUUAAUGUUCGAAAAUUUCGACUAAUA